AAGAAAUGAUGUGAAGUGGUUACUAAAUUAUGCCUACUAUGAAUUAUGAUUAUUCUUUUGGCCAGGACUUGAAGCCUGCUGUCUUGGUUUUCUAAUUCUUCCUAUCUCUUUUUGUUGCUUCCAGUAGGUCCAAAUCACCAGUGUUCUCUCAAUGUGAGAGAUUUUCAUACUGUAUCUGAGCUUGUUACAAGCUCAGAUGUUCUUUUCCUUUUUCUUUUUCUUUUUGGCAGGAGGCGGCGGUGGUGGUGAAAGGAAAGCUUUUGUGGUCUACUCUAAAAGUCACAACUUCUACGAGGAAUUCAACCUUUGGAUCGGCUGCACCCAGAUGAUUUCUUCUUCCUAUCCCAUGAAAGCCAACUGCUGUGAAACAUACUGUGGAACCAGAGAGUUUCCUGUUUGGCAUCCAGGGCUUAACUCGUGUCUGUGUCAAGAGAGAACGAUUAUAUUUCUUCUAUCACAUUCAAUUAUGUAUAAUAAAGACAAUUUUGGACAUAGUUACCAUCUCAUCUAUCCUCCCUGCCCCUGUUCUCACUGUGCCUGCCAUGCAAAUCUGCUCUAUUACGCUGUAGAGAUAAUAACCA
rnacentral:lncRNA from 1 species